AUUGAACGCUGGCGGCAUGCCUUACACAUGCAAGUCGAACGGCAGCGGACCUUCGGGUGCCGGCGAGUGGCGAACGGGUGAGUAAUGCAUCGGAACGUACCUUUCAGUGGGGGAUAACGUAGCGAAAGUUACGCUAAUACCGCAUAUUCUGUGAGCAGGAAAGCAGGGGAUCGCAAGACCUUGCGCUGAUUGAGCGGCCGAUGUCAGAUUAGCUAGUUGGUGAGGUAAAGGCUCACCAAGGCGACGAUCUGUAGCGGGUCCGAGAGGAUGAUCCGCCACACUGGAACUGAGACACGGUCCAGACUCCUACGGGAGGCAGCAGUGGGGAAUUUUGGACAAUGGGGGCAACCCUGAUCCAGCCAUGCCGCGUGAGUGAAGAAGGCCUUCGGGUUGUAAAGCUCUUUCGGCCGGGAAGAAAUCGCACGGGCUAAUACCCUGUGUGGAUGACGGUACCGGAAUAAGAAGCACCGGCUAACUACGUGCCAGCCGCCGCCGUAAGAC
rnacentral:rRNA from 1 species